UACGGAGGGGGCAAGCGUUGUUCGGAAUUACUGGGCGUAAAGGGCCAGUAGGCGGCCAACUAAGUCGGAUGUGAAAUCCCCAGGCUUAACCUGGGAACUGCAUUCGAGACUGCAUUGCUAGAGUAUGGGAGAGGGAAGUGGAAUUUCCGGUGUAGCGGUGAAAUGCGUAGAUAUCGGAAGGAACAUCAGUGGCGAAAGCGACUUCCUGGACCAAUACUGACGCUCAUGUGUGAAAGCGUGGGGAGCAAACAGG
rnacentral:rRNA from 1 species